CAGUUGCAGAAACCCUAAUAAUGUGUAUAUAAUUCUGCUUCAAUUUUUAGCUGACAGAAUGUAAAGCUAUCAGAUUAAAAUGAGAUUUUUUUUCUUACUAAAAUUUAACAUUUUUCAUGUUCAUGGGAUGGGAGUAGGAGAAAUACACAGGAACAUUACACAACAACACCAAAUAAACGAAGCAAUCUGUGCCACACAUGGUGCCAGUUGUCAAUUCCAUAUCAAUCCUUCCCUUCUAUAAAUAUAGGUUACAGCUCUUCACAUCACUGGCCAUACCAUAUCAGUCAUUUCCUUUUCUUCAACUUGCGUCUUCGUUCAAUCGUUUGGUUCUUCUGUUUUAUCGCUUAUUUUUCUCGUGGUACGAUGUCGGAUACCAGCGGCUCCACCGUAACCGACGGCGGCGAGAUUAUGUUGUUCGGCGUGAGAGUGGUGGUGGACUCCAUGAGGAAGAGUGUGAGUAUGAAUAACUUGUCUCAGUAUGUACAGCCUCAUGAAAACAACGGUAACGAUAACAACAACAAUAAGAAUGACGUUGCGGCUGCUGGUUACGCCUCUGCCGACGACGCAGUUCCAAACUCUAGAGCGAGUCGCGAGCGGAAGCGAGGAGUGCCGUGGACGGAGGAAGAGCAUAAGCUGUUCUUGUUAGGGUUACAGAAAGUAGGGAGAGGAGAUUGGAGAGGAAUCUCUAGAAACUUCGUUAAGACUAGAACUCCAACACAGGUGGCUAGUCAUGCUCAGAAGUACUUUCUUCGCCGGAGCAAUCUCAACCGGCGACGCCGCCGAUCUAGCCUCUUCGAUAUCACUACAGAUUCGGUGGUAGAUAUAUCAGUAGAUGAUGAGCAAGUGGAGCAACUAGACAACAAUCCAUCAGCCACUGUGCAGCGGCUUGAAACAAACAAUUUUGCUAUGAUACUUCCUGUGCCUUUCUUUUUACCAGCAAGCAUCGACAAUCCAAUGGAAAAUCUGAUAGUAGGAAAACUCAAUCAGUCAAGCAUAAUUGGGACAAACCAUGUUUGUCCAAAUCCUAUGGUUCCGGCUCCCGGAGCCGUAACAGUGUCCGAUCUUAACUUGAAUUUAAAUCUAAUGAUGGAUCCAUCGCCAUUGCCCCUCAAGCUGUCGUUGCAGAGGGGGCAAAGGGAAUCUUCCUCGUCAAGGCAUUCAGCUUUUCAGGUGAUGCCAACCUUAAAUCAUGGGGAUGGCAAUAACAUGAUCAGUGUUGCUUGAGAAGGGAAAUAAAAGUUGAAAGGAAGGUGGAUAAUUAGAGGGUGAUGCUAUGCUGAUAAGGAUACCUUAUCUUUGGACUUAUAUAAAGAGCUGAACGAGUUGCCAGUUAUGGCUGUUUGGUCUUUACUUAGACAGGCAAAGUAGGCUGUCAGUCAUGUCAAUUUUAUAGGCUGCAAAUGGGAUAAUUUCUAUGGUGAAAGGGCCUUCCGCCACAGGAGGGCUUGCAUGAGCUUUGAAGACAGUGACAACACCUCUCUAAGUCAAUUCCCCGGCCAAGAGUAUUGCAGAAAUUACAAGUGAAACAGUAGUGGCUUUUGCCUUUUUCCCACCUGAA